rnacentral:lncRNA from 1 species
CUCCAGUCAUCUCUCUGAGUCAAUUCCAUUGAGCUGGGUGAAUUGGUGGCUUGGCCCAAACUUCACCUCAACCCAGUCUCUCUUUGGGCAGGAAUCAAAGUCCCCCCACAGGAAGGAAUGUAUCUUUCAACUCAUGUGCCAUUUUUGCAGAAGCUUUUCAGACACCUCCCUUACCAGUGAACUCAGUUUCCCACCCUUUAGAUGGCUGUGGAGUCCUGCAUGUGCCGCAUUCGGAUAAUUAUUCAAAUGAAGUACACUUAAGAGCUUGCAUUGUCUAAAGGCCCAAUGAUUCAUGUAACUCCCCUAUCAGCACAAAUGAGAAGUUCCUGCCUGAAUGCAGCAGAUGGAAAUGGAAAUUACAGACUUUGAUUUGGAGUUUGUUGCUGAACUGAAUUCAUGAUGAAGAUCCUGCAAUUUGGUGACCUCCUUUUUGAUGCUCACUGCUUAUCUGAAUCUUCAAAACCAGGAUUGACCAGGACAGAUCGGCCUGUGACAACUGGUGCAUGGUGGAGAGUAGAACAACUCUGAAGAAGAGGUCCCAAAGGAAACUCCAGUCACUUUUGUAACUUUUCUCUGGGAAGCCUUGCUGGAAAAUUCAUGUCAUUCAUUCCAAGGUUGCCAAAAGCACUACAAUUGAUUGAUUUCCAGAAGAAAAAUCAGUAGUUAUUAGCUAACUAUGACAACAAAUACUUCUGUGUAUAUCUAAUGUAUUUGAAUGAUUUAAAAUAAAGAGUUGAAUCUCCAACAUUUUCUGAAAGCCCAGCCAAAAGUUCUACCCCACAAUUGUUAAAACAUUUAUUCCAUUUUGUGACUAGGUAAUGAAUUCCUGUGAAUCAUGAAUCUAAGCCACAGGAAAUAGUACACAGGACAAAAUAUUACUCUCACACUUGCCUCCAUGCUUCCCAUUUCCCACCCUCACCAAAACCACAUUGAUUGGCAUCUGUGUGUCUUUGCAAAAUUUCCUUCUGGAAAUACAAACGAAUACAACCAUACAUAUAUUCUUAUUCUCCACCUCCUUUAAAAAAAUUCAAUGAUUUACCAAUAUUAUGGGUCUUACAUUUUUCACUUAAAGUUAGGUGGGCAUUAUAUCAGUAAAUAAAAAGCAUCUUCAUCAUCUUCAUUAUUUUCAGCUUUAUGUUUUUCUAUUUUACUGAUAUACCAUAAUUUAACCAGCACUCUCCCCAAAACGAUUUAAAAAACCC